AUUGAACGCUGGCGGCAGGCCUAACACAUGCAAGUCGAACGAGUGGCGGACGGGUGAGUAAUGUCUGGGAAACUGCCUGAUGGAGGGGGAUAACUACUGGAAACGGUAGCUAAUACCGCAUACCAUCGGAUGUGCCCAGAUGGGAUUAGCUUGUUGGUGUGGUAACGGCUCACCAAGGCGACGAUCCCUAGCUGGUCUGAGAGGAUGACCGGCCACCCUGGAACUGAGACACGGUCAAGACUCCUACGGGAGGCAGCAGUGGGAAAUAUUGCACAAUGGGCGAAAGCCUGAUGCAUCCAGGCCGCGUGUAUGAAGAAGGCCUUCGGGUUUUAAAGUACUUUCAGCGGGGAGGCGUUACCCGCAGAAGAAGCACCGGCUAACUCCGUGCCAGCAGCCGCGGUAAUAC
rnacentral:rRNA from 1 species